UCAUCAUGCCCCUUAUGACCUGGGCUACGACACGUGCUACAAUGGUUGGUACAACGAGUUGCGAGUCGGUGACGGCGAGCUAAUCUCUUAAAGCCAAUCUCAGUUCGGAUUGUAGGCUGCAACUCGCCUACAUGAAGUCGGAAUCGCUAGUAAUCGCGGAUCAGCACGCCGCGGUGAAUACGUUCCCGGGCCUU
rnacentral:rRNA from 1 species